UACGUAGGGUGCAAGCGUUAAUCGGAAUUACUGGGCGUAAAGCGUGCGCAGGCGGUGAUGUAAGACAGUUGUGAAAUCCCCGGCUCAACCUGGGAACUGCAUCUGUGACUGCAUUGCUGGAGUGCGGCAGAGGGGGAUGGAAUUCCGCGUGUAGCAGUGAAAUGCGUAGAUAUGCGGAGGAACACCGAUGGCGAAGGCAAUCCCCUGGGCCUGCACUGACGCUCAUGCACGAAAGCGUGGGGAGCAAACAGG
rnacentral:rRNA from 1 species